rnacentral:rRNA from 1 species
AUGCGCAUGGCGAAUGCCACCUCCGGUGCCUCGCUUUGGUCGUGUCGGAUCACUGCCCGCUGCUGCUUGAUUGCUCCCCCAUGCCGGCUGUGCACAAACGCUUCCACUUCGAGGACUAUUGGCUCAGACUUGACGACUUCCAUGACACCGUUACCGCGGCGUGGAGCUCGGUGCAUGACGACGACCCAUUCCGGCGGCUGGUCAAGCGUCUCCAGGCCAUUGCUCGCCGCUUAUCAAGCUGGAGCGCCAAGGCCACGGGCAACAUUCGGGACAAGCUCGCCAUAUCCCGCAAGCUGA